rnacentral:lncRNA from 1 species
GUAUCUCUUUCUUUCUUUCUUUUUAAUUAAUAAGAAAAUUUUAUUAAAUAUGCUUUUUUUUACAAUUAAAAUGAGAUAUUCUUUUUUUAAAUAAAGUGCAAGAGUACAAUAAACCUUAAAGAUUAAAUAAAUGAGAUCUUACAAAAACAGAUCAAGAUAAAUAAAUAUAAGCCAAAAAAAACCCAAAAUACUCCACAAACCCUAAUAAGAAAGGAGAAAUGUAGACACCGCCACUGCCAUUGCUACAAAGCCAUCACCCUAUAGCUCAACCCUUGAUCUUUUGUUAAGCUUAUAGAGAUGGAACUUGAUUUGCAACGCCAUAGUGCUUCUUUGAUGAAAAUCAACCUAAAAUCAAAGCAGAAAUACGAGAUUAAAAUAGUUAAUAGAGAGGGAGGAGGAGAGAACUCCCCAUCUACCAGUCUUUCAUGGAGAUAAGCAUUCUCAACCCACCAAAAUUUGGAAUUGAGCAUUUGAAGGAUAUGAACGAUAUCAAAGAAAUAGAUUGAUGCGCUUUGAGCCACCAUCGAAAUUCUUAAUUGAUAUUAAAAAAAA